rnacentral:rRNA from 1 species
CUACGGGGUGCAGCAGUGGGGAAUAUUGGACAAUGGGGGAAACCCUGAUCCAGCAAUGCCGCGUGUGUGAAGAAGGCCUGCGGGUUGUAAAGCACUUUCGGUUGGGAGGACUGCUUCUAGCACUAAUAUUGUUGGAAGUUGACGUUACCUUCAGAAGAAGCACCGGAGAACUCCGUGCCAGCAGCCGCGGUAAUACGGAGGGUGCAGGCGUUAGUCGGAAUUACUGGGCGUAAAGCGCGCGUAGGCGGCUAGAUCAGUCGGGUGUGAAAGCCCCGGGCUUAACCUGGGAACUGCAUCCGAUACUGUCUAGCUUGAGUACAGGAGAGGAGAGUGGAAUUCCACAUGUAGCGGUGAAAUGCGUAGAUAUGUGGAGGAACACCAAUGGCGAAGGCAGCUCUCUGGCCUGAUACUGACGCUGAGGUGCGAAAGCGUGGGGAGCAAACAGGAUUAGAUACCCUAGUAGUC